rnacentral:tRNA from 1 species
AGUAAAGUGGCUGAGUUUAAGCAAUAAACUGUAAAUUUAUUUACGAAAUAAAAAUUUCCUUUACUA